AGUGAACGCUGGCGGUAUGCCUAAUACAUGCAAGUCGAACGGACGCACAGUAAGAGUUCGCCCCUACGGGUGGCGACUGGCGGGUGGGUGAGGAAUACAUAGGAUACCUCUUUUUCGUGGGGGAUAUCGUGGGGAAACUUCUGCUAACAGCUAAUAUGAUGAACCGGUUAAAGCAAGGGUUCUUGGCACUCUUCCUGUCACUUUGAGAUGAUUCCGUGCCGCAUUAGCUAGUUGGUAAGGUAACGGCCUACCAAGGCAACGAUGCGUAGCCGAUCUGAGAGGGUGAUCAGCCACACUGGAACUGAGACACGGUCCAGACUCCUACGGGAGGCAGCAGUAGGGAAUAUUGGACAAUGGGCGCAAGCCUGAUCCAGCCAUACCGCGUGAGUGAAGAAGGCCUUCGGGUUGUAAAGCCCUGUUAUUAGGGAAGAAAAGCAGCAGAUUAAUACCCCGCUGUUCUGACGGUACCCAAAGAAUAAGCACCGGCUAACUUCGUG
rnacentral:rRNA from 1 species